UCUGGCCUGUAUUCAACUGCAUUGUUGUGAGCAGUUGGGCGCUGCAUCUCCAGAUUGGGACAGUCCUAGCUUGCAAGCAACAAUGUUGUGCAUUUGCAGGUCGAGUGCGCCGAGACUUUCGAGAAGGCGAUAUGAGCUCAAUUUUGAGGCCAGCUUGCUGGUACCCGGAUUGGAGGAAUGUUGUUCGUUUUGGAUGUGAAUGGGGGAAAGGUUUUCGGGCUCGUAUGGGUUCGAAUUGGUGUGGGGUGGCAGUUGCAUGCAACAUGUGCCUUCUGCCAAUUCGGUCCUGUGCGAGCUCACAAUCCCACUCUCGGCGUAAAAGUUGGUCAUCUAUCCGACCCGUCUUGAAACACGGACCAAGGAGUUUAUCGUGUGCGCAAGUCAUUGGGUGUUGAAAACUCAAAGGCGCAAUGAAAGUAAAGAAUCCGCAAGGAUACGACGUGUGAUCUGAGCAAUCACGAUUGCCUGGAGCAACAUGGCCCCAUUCUGGUCGCUUGCGACGGGGUGGAGGAAGAGCGUACGCGGUGAGACCCGAAAGAUGGUGAACUAUUCCUGAGCAGGAUGAAGCCAGAGGA
rnacentral:rRNA from 1 species